AACGAACGCUGGCGGCAUGCCUAACACAUGCAAGUCGAACGAGACCUUCGGGUCUGGUGGCGCACGGGUGCGUAACGCGUGGGAACCUGCCCUUAGGUUCGGAAUAACUCCCCGAAAGGGGUGCUAAUACCGGAUAAUGUCUUCGGACCAAAGAUUUAUCGCCUUUGGAUGGGCCCGCGUUGGAUUAGCUAGUUGGUAGGGUAAAAGCCUACCAAGGCGACGAUCCAUAGCUGGUCUGAGAGGAUGAUCAGCCACACUGGGACUGAGACACGGCCCAGACUCCUACGGGAGGCAGCAGUGGGGAAUAUUGGACAAUGGGCGAAAGCCUGAUCCAGCAAUGCCGCGUGAGUGAUGAAGGCCUUAGGGUUGUAAAGCUCUUUUACCCGGGAUGAUAAUGGCAGUACCGGGAGAAUAAGCUCCGGCUAACUCCGUG
rnacentral:rRNA from 1 species